rnacentral:tRNA from 1 species
AUUGUUUUGGCAGAUUAGUGCAAUAAAUUUAGGAUUUAUUUAUAUAUAAAAUAUUAUAUAGACAAUA